AUUGAACGCUGGCGGGAUGCCUUACACAUGCAAGUCGAACGGUAACAGGUCUUCGGAUGCUGACGAGUGGCGAACGGGUGAGUAAUACAUCGGAACGUGCCCGAGAGUGGGGGAUAACGAGGCGAAAGCUUUGCUAAUACCGCAUACGAUCUCAGGAUGAAAGCAAGGGACCGCAAAGCCUUGCGCUCACGGUGCGGCCGAUGGCAGAUUAGGUAGUUAAUAGGAUAAAAGCUUACCAAGCCGACGAUCUGUAGCUGGUCUGAGAGGACGACCAGCCACACUGGGACUGAGACACGGCCCAGACUCCUACGGGAGGCAGCAGUGGAGAAUUUUGGACAAUGGGCGCAAGCCUGAUCCAGCCAUGCCGCGUGCAGGAUGAAGGCCUUCAGGUUGUAAACUGCUUUUGUACGGAACGAAAAGACUCUGGUUAAUACCUGGGGUCCAUGACGGUACCGUAAGAAUAAGCGCCGGCUAACUACGUGCCAGCAGCCGCAGUAAAAC
rnacentral:rRNA from 1 species